rnacentral:tRNA from 1 species
GCGAGAGUGGCGGAAUUGGCAUACGCGCCAGACUUAGGAUCUGGUCCCUUCGGGGUUGAGGGUUCAAGUCCCUCCUCUCGCA